CCCUGGUUAGCUCAGUCGGUAGAGCGCUCCACUACAAAUGAAGAGGUCCCGUGUUCGAUACCCGGAUCAGGCG